UUAGCUUCGCCUGUCAAGCCUUUGUACCUCUAUGAUUUCCUUUUUGUAUCAUUCUCGUUCGUCUUUUCGGCCUUAACACAUCUAAAUCUUUUGUGUAGUCUCAAGUUAUUUGCUUUUCUUCGGUUCAAAAACUUUUUACGGAUUAAUCAUGUGUUGCGGACCUUGUGGACCCUGCUGUGGUCCAUGCGGACCGUGCUGUGGACCCUGCGGAGGAGGAUGUGGACCCUGCUAUGGACCCAAUGUCUGCGGACCCUGCUACGCCUGUGGACCCUGUGGCGGCUGCUACUGUGGAUAUCCUUGUUGUUAGCAAUCCUGAUUGGGGAACCACUAGAAGCCUAUCAAAAAGCCCCCAUUUCAUCUAGAAUCCGUGAGCCUCGAAGAAGUAAUUUGAGACAAUAUUAAAAAUGAAGCAAUGAAUGCAACAAAAAA